AGGCCUGUUUCUCUGAACAGUUCUUCACAAACCAUCAGCCAUGAGAGCUGUUGUGCUUGCCCUGACUGUAGCCCUUGUGGCGAGUCAACAGAUCAACCUUGUUCCUGAGUUUGCCCUCGAUAAGACCUAGUUUUCUUUGAAAUUAUGA